GACUCUUCACAGCACAGUGACGUGGGAGCCCGGGAGACGGGGAUGGGCUCGGGGGAAGGGUGCGGGGGCAGCCUCCACCCGGAAGGGGGCGCGGGACGGCGCUCCGGGGGAGUCGGCCGCCGGGCGUCGGGGCUGGGUCCCCGGCGGCCGGGCAACCCCCCGGGCGAGGGCGCCCCGCGGCGGCCUGCCAUCCCGUUUAGAGGCUUCGCGUCCUGUCGUUAGCAUUAGCACGGCAGAUGCCACCCCGACUUUACCGGACUUCUUGCGUCGGAAUAGUUAUUCAGAUUUAUGGGGAAAGUGGCAGAGCUCCUACUGAGUCGUGCGUCCUCCGCCCGCGUCCCCCCUGCGGUCCCCGCACCGAGAGCCGGACUCCGUGCGUUGAGCGCCUUUCCCGCUCCCUGUGUGCGGGUCUAACCCAGAGCACCUGUCAGACCCGAGGGAUUGAACUCAAGGCACUCAACCGCUGACCCACAUCCCCAGCUCUAUUUUGUAUUUUAUUUAGAGACAGGGUCUCACUGAGCUGCUUAGCACUUCACUUUUGCUGAGGCUGGCUUUGAACUUUUGAUCCUCCUGCCUCAGCUUCCUGAGCCACUGGGAUUAUAGGCUCCACCGCGCCCUGCUUCAGUUGCUAAUUUUUAAAUCGAGCUUUUUGUUGUCUAUAGAAGUUUUUGCAGAUGAUAUUCAUGUGUUGAGAAUAAUGUAUUUCUUUGCUGUAUGUAUCACACAGAGUUUCCCAGAUUAAAAACUUGUUUUUUGACUGCA